UACGUAGGGGGCAAGCGUUGUCCGGAUUUAUUGGGCGUAAAGAGCGUGUAGGCGGCCAAAUAGGUCGGUUGUGAAAACUGGAGGCUUAACCUCCAGACGUCGACCGAAACCAUCUGGCUAGAGUCCGGAAGAGGAGAGUGGAAUUCCUGGUGUAGCGGUGAAAUGCGCAGAUAUCAGGAAGAACACCCGUGGCGAAAGCGGCUCUCUGGAACGGUACUGACGCUGAGACGCGAAAGCGUGGGGAGCGAACAGG
rnacentral:rRNA from 1 species